rnacentral:rRNA from 1 species
CCUACGGGAGGCAGCAGUGGGGAAUAUUGCACAAUGGGCGCAAGCCUGAUGCAGCCAUGCCGCGUGUAUGAAGAAGGCCUUCGGGUUGUAAAGUACUUUCAGCGGGGAGGAAGGCGUUGUGGUUAAUAACCACAGCAAUUGACGUUACCCGCAGAAGAAGCACCGGCUAACUCCGUGCCAGCAGCCGCGGUAAU